AACCGCCCCCAAUUUUAUGGAUAUCUUCAAAAUUCACCCUUACCCAUCCCCCACCCCUUCAAAAUUUUAUCCUUCCUCAAAACCAACUCUUUCUUCUUUCCUAACACAUACAAAUCCAGCCGACUAUAAUAAGGGGUAACUCUUUCUAUAGUUAACCGCCAACCGGUGAGUAACACCUGGUUAACCUCCCCUUAGGAAGUGGAUAACUCGGUGAAACCUUAGCUAAUACCCUAUAAAACCACCAGCUUAAAAGCUUUUGUUAAAAGGAGAAAUCCACCUAAGGAUGGGCCCCCUGCCUAUCAAGUAGUUUGUAAGGUAAUUGCCUACCAAACCUAUGACGGGUAACCCAGCUGAGAAGCUGGCCCCCCACACGGGGACUGAGACACCGCCCAAACUCCUACGGGAGGCAGCAGGGGGGAAGAUGGGGCAAUGGGCGAAACCUGACCCAGCGACCCCCCGGGGGGAAGAAGGCGCGCGGAGG
rnacentral:rRNA from 1 species